UACGUAGGGUGCGAGCGUUGUCCGGAAUUAUUGGGCGUAAAGGGCUCGUAGGCGGUUUGUCACGUCGGGAGUGAAAACUCGGGGCUCAACCCCGAGCCUGCUUCCGAUACGGGCAGACUAGAGGUAUGCAGGGGAGAAUGGAAUUCCUGGUGUAGCGGUGAAAUGCGCAGAUAUCAGGAGGAACACCGAUGGCGAAGGCAGAUCUCUGGGCCGUAACUGACGCUGAGGAGCGAAAGCGUGGGGAGCGAACAGG
rnacentral:rRNA from 1 species